AAUACAUCUUCCCGAAAUCUGAAAUUUUUCUUUUGAUAUUACAACCAGACACUCCAAUUUUAUUACAUGUAUAGAUUAGCACAUAUUUGCUAGCUUUUUAUAAUCACAUACUAAAAUAAACUGCCUAUAAUACAAAUGCUAAGUUAUGUAACACCAGUGUUGAGAUAAUAUUGAUUUAUAUAGUUUUUAUAUCGCUUAUAUUCGUAUAACCUUAAAAUGUAAUGACUUCUAUAAGUUUCACACGAGGGUAGUUCAGCGAUGUUUAGUACAAUUUCAGUACUGAAAACAGUCGAAUUCAAUUAUGAUGAGAAAUUAAAUUAUAAACUAUUUUACAUUUAUAAUGCAAUACCAUUGUAAACAGACAUUUUUAUAUCAUACACAUCAAAUGACAAUUACAGCCAAGUGCAAAAUAUCUUACUUCAAUUACAUUCGAUUUCCCUACCCUCGUGUGAAACUAU